UAGGGAAUAUUGCGCAAUGGAGGAAACUCUGACGCAGCGACGCCGCGUGAGUGAUGAAGGCCUUAGGGUUGUAAAGCUCUGUCGUGGGGGAAAAUGAUGAUGGUACCCCAAAAGAAAGGGACGGCUAACUUCGUGCCAGCAGCCGCGGUAAUACGAGGGUCCCUAGCGUUGUUCGGAAUCAUUGGGCGUAAAGCGGGUGUAGGCGGCUAUUCAAGUCGGAUGUGAAAUCCCUGAGCUUAACUUAGGAAGUGCAUUCGAUACUGUUUAGCUUGAGUACGGGAGAGGGUGGUAGAAUUCCUGGUGUAGUGGUGAAAUACGUAGAUAUCAGGAGGAACACCGGUGGCGAAGGCGGCCACCUGGCCCAGUACUGACGCUCAGACCCGAAAGCGUGGGGAUCAAA
rnacentral:rRNA from 1 species